rnacentral:lncRNA from 1 species
AUGUACAGUAGGAUGCUUCGGGGCCUCUGGCAGGGAAGACAUAAAGAACUCGAUGUUCUUGGUCGAUGCACGCCCAUUUCGCCUGUUGGUGCUGAAUCCGAAUCCGUGUGUCUGCUUUGAAUGGAGAGAGGGAGCGUGGUGUCACGAGAGCAGAGAGAUUCCUGCACGGGGCUUCUCCUCAUCUUGGGCCUCAUCUCGCAGACAGUGGGAACGCUGGAAGGUCCACUUGCAAUUG